rnacentral:rRNA from 1 species
UACGUAGGGCGCAAGCGUUGUCCGGAAUUAUUGGGCGUAAAGAGCUCGUAGGCGGUUUGUCGCGUCUGCUGUGAAAACUCGAGGCUCAACCUCGGGCUUGCAGUGGGUACGGGCAGACUAGAGUGCGGUAGGGGAGACUGGAAUUCCUGGUGUAGCGGUGGAAUGCGCAGAUAUCAGGAGGAACACCGAUGGCGAAGGCAGGUCUCUGGGCCGCGACUGACGCUGAGGAGCGAAAGCAUGGGGAGCGAACAGG